AACGUAGGUGGCAAGCGUUAUCCGGAUUUACUGGGCGUAAAGGGUGUGCAGGCGGGGUUGCGCGGGGUGUAUGAAAUCUCCCGGCUUAACAGGGAGGGGUUAUGCCAGACUGCAAUUCUAGAGGGCGAGAGAGGGGGGUGGAAUUCCGGGUGUAGUGGUGAAAUGCGUAGGGAUCCGGAGGAACCCCAGAGGCGAAGGCGGCCCCCUGGCUCGUACCUGACGCUCAGCCACGAAAGCAUGGGGAGCGAACGGG
rnacentral:rRNA from 1 species